rnacentral:rRNA from 1 species
UACGAAGGGGGCUAGCGUUGCUCGGAAUUACUGGCGUAAAGCGCACGUAGGCGGCCUUUCAAGUCGGAUGUGAAAGCCCCGAGCUUAACUCGGGAACUGCAUUUGAUACUGUUGGGCUAGAGACCGGGAGAGGGAUAGCGGAAUUCCCAGUGUAGAGGUGAAAAUUCGUAGAUAUUGGGAAGAACACCAGUGGCGAAGGCGGCUGAUCUGGACCGGUACUGACGCUGAGGGUG